AUAGAAGUAUUGCAUGCAUCAAGACCUUUAAGUUGGGAAAAAGAAGAAUUGAUGACUAAUUUCCGACUUUCACUCCAUAUAUCAAAUGAUGAACAUUUGCUGGAACUCUGAAACUUGGUUUCUGCAGAUACCAGCGGACAACUUAGAUGACAGGAAAUAUUUUUGCCUUGAAAUUUUCCAUCUAGCUUAGAAUGGGAUUAGUUUUUUCUCCAGAAACUUGCUGCAUUAUACCUCGAUUACUCUCUGUGUUGUGAGGAAGCUAUGUCAUGCUAUCUUGUUACAUAAGAAUUUCUAAAGGACCACAUCCUUUAUACAAAUUGGUAAACCAUACCAAUUUGGCUCUAUAAAACUCUCAAAAUGGUUUAUACAUGAUACCAGAGAAUCAGAAAAAAUAAAAUAAAAAUAAUCAACUUUUUAGGCUUUGAAUGAUGCAUG